UUGACCUCGGAUCAGGCAGGGAUACCCGCUGAACUUAAGCAUAUCAAUAAGCGGAGGAAAAGAAACCAACAGGGAUUGCCUCAGUAACGGCGAGUGAAGCGGCAACAGCUCAAAUUUGAAAUCUGGCUCUUUUAGGGUCCGAGUUGUAAUUUGUAGAGGAUGCUUCGGCGUCGGCUCCGGUCUAAGUUCCUUGGAACAGGACGUCAUAGAGGGUGAGAAUCCCGUAUGUGAUCGGUUGCCCUUGCCAUGUGAAGCUCCUUCGACGAGUCGAGUUGUUUGGGAAUGCAGCUCUAAAUGGGAGGUAAAUUUCUUCUAAAGCUAAAUACUGGCCAGAGACCGAUAGCGCACAAGUAGAGUGAUCGAAAGAUGAAAGCACUUUGGAAAGAGAGUCAAAAGUAC
rnacentral:rRNA from 1 species